rnacentral:rRNA from 1 species
GGCUCAGGACGAACGCUGGCGGCGUGCCUAACACAUGCAAGUCGAACGGGGUGUCGAGAGCUUGCUCUUGACACUUAGUGGCGAACGGGUGAGUAACGCGUGAGAAACCUGCCUCUCAGUGGGGGACAACAGUUGGAAACGACUGCUAAUACCGCAUAAUGUAUCGAGAGGGCAUCCUCUUGAUACCAAAGCUUUAUGUGCUGAAAGAUGGUCUCGCGUCUGAUUAGCUUGUUGGCGGGGUAACGGCCCACCAAGGCGACGAUCAGUAGCCGGUCUGAGAGGAUGAACGGCCACAUUGGGACUGAGAUACGGCCCAGACUCCUACGGGAGGCAGCAGUGGGGAAUAUUGGGCAAUGGGGAAAACCCUGACCCAGCAACGCCGCGUGAAGGAAGAAGGCCUUCGGGUUGUAAACUUCUUUUAGCAGGGACGAAGGACGUGACGGUACCUGCAGAAAAGCAACGGCUAACUACGUG